CCCCUAGACGUUCUGGGCUGCACGCGCGCUACAAUAAUACGCACAGCGAGUACCACCGAGCUCGAAAGGGCAAGGUAAACAAUAGAAAAGGUACUGUAAUGGUUAUAGAUCCUUGUAAUUAUUGAUCUUCAACGAGGAAUUCCUAGUAAGUAUGUGUCAUCAUCACGCACUGAUUACGUCCCUGCCCUUUGUACACACCGCCCGUCGCUCCUACCGAUUGGGUGAGCCGAUGAAACUCUCGGAUGUAGGCUAUUCAUAGCCCGCAGAAGAGAUUUGAAUCGUAGCGCUUAGAGGAAGGAGAAGUCGUAACA
rnacentral:rRNA from 1 species